CCUACGCACCUUGUUACGGGUGCCCUUCACAGGGUGAAACGGGAAACCGGUGCGUUCAAGCCUCAAGCUUGUGCAAGUCCGGCGCUGCCCCCGCAACGGUAAGCGAGUGAAGAGUCAGAUCCACUGUGCCGAUCAACGGCAUGGGAAGGUGACUCUUGCAGGUUGAACGUUCUGCGUUCCGCCCCUCGCAAGCCCGGAGACCGGCCCGACAUACAGUUAUAAC
rnacentral:ncRNA from 1 species